CGGAUGGACCUUUUCGCUGUGUGUGAAUGCAAGCACCGAUUUGAAGAUUAAGCCACUACUGGUGCACCAUUCCCAGAUCUCUUGUGCAAUGAAGAAACAGACUGCAAAUGAGGGCAGACUGCCUGUCAUGUGGAGGCCAGUGCAAAAGCUUGGGUCACAAGACAAUUGUGCAUGGCAUGGCUGCAUGAAGUGUUAGCAUCCACCAUUAAGAAAUGUCUUUCUGACAACCAGCUGCCUGAAAAGUGUCUUCUGAUGGAUAGUGCCCCAGUACAUACCUUCCAGCCUUGCUGGAUGAUAUGGACACUGAGUAUGACUUCAUAAAGGCCAAGUCCUCCCCCCCAACACACCUCUUCCACAGCCCAUGGACCAGCCAGUGGUCUGCAACUUUAAGAAGCUGUCUAUGAAGACACUUCCUUAGGUAUUUUAAUACCACUGAAGAGAUAUCCUUGACUCUGGAAGAGUUCUGGAAGAAACAUUUCAAUGCCCUCCACUGCAUCAACCUGUUGACAAAGCCUGGGAAGAUGUCACAUACUGGAUCUUAAACUUAACCUGGAGGAAACUGUGGCCAGAAUGUGUCACUGAACAUGACUUUGAAGGGUCUGAUGCACAGGUAGUGGAGGAGAUUGUGCCCAUGGACAAGAGUAUGGGUCUGGAUGUUGAUGGUGCAGAGACAGAGAAGCAUGUUGAGGAUCAGAAGGAGGAGCAGACUGUGGAAGAACUUGCUGAGCUCCAGAGUAAGCGGCAGAAGGUGCUCACUGAGGAACAUUUCACUGAGGAAGAGGAAGACAGGGAGGAGUUUUAUAGAGGAUGCUGUCACCUAAGAUGACCAAAG
rnacentral:lncRNA from 1 species